AGCAGCCGCGGUAAUUCCAGCUCCAAUAGCGUAUAUUAAAGUUGUUGCAGUUAAAAAGCUCGUAGUCGAAUUUCGGGAUCAGUACGCCGGUCGUGCCUCUGGUAUGUACUGGUGUUACUGGUUCCUACCUUCUGACGAACUGUCAUGUCAUUAAUUUGGUGUGGCGGGGAAUCAGGACUGUUACUUUGAAAAAUUAGAGUGUUUAAAGCAGGCUCGCGCUUGAAUACAUUAGCAUGGAAUAAUGAAAUAGGACGUUCGAUCCUAUUUUGUUGGUUUCUAGGAUUGACGUAAUGAUUAAUAGGGAUAGUUGGGGGCAUUAGUAUUCAAUUGUCAGAGGUGAAAUUCUUGGAUUUAUUGAAGACUAACUACUGCGAAAGCAUUUGCCAAGGAUGUUUUCAUUAAUCAAGAACGAAAGUUAGGGGAUCGAAGACGAUCAGAUACCGUCGUAGU
rnacentral:rRNA from 1 species